rnacentral:rRNA from 1 species
GAUGAACGCUGGCGGCGUGCUUAACACAUGCAAGUCGAACGAAACACCUUAUUUGAUUUUCUUCGGAACUGAAGAUUUGGUGAUUGAGUGGCGGACGGGUGAGUAACGCGUGGGUAACCUGCCCUGUACAGGGGGAUAACAGUCAGAAAUGACUGCUAAUACCGCAUAAGACCACAGCACCGCAUGGUGCAGGGGUAAAAACUCGCGGUGGUACAGGAUGGAACCGCGUCUGAUUAGCUGGUUGGUGAGGUAACGGCUCACCAAGGCGACGAUCAGUAGCGGGCUGGAGAGAGUGAACGGCCACAUUGGGACUGGGACACGGCCCAAACUCCUACGGGAGGCAGCAGUGGGGAAUAUUGCACAAUGGGGGAAACCCUGAUGCAGCGACGCAGCGUGAGUGAAGAAGUAUCUCGGUAUGUAAAGCUCUAUCAGCAGGGAAGAAAAUGACGGUACCUGACUAAGAAGCCCCGGCUAACUACGUGCCAGCAGCCGCCGUAAUAC